GUGGGGAAUAUUGGGCAAUGGGCGCAAGCCUGACCCAGCAACGCCGCGUGAGGGAAGAAGGCUUUCGGGUUGUAAACCUCUGUCCUUGGUGACGAAGAAAGUGACGGUAGCCAAGGAGGAAGCCCCGGCUAACUACGUGCCAGCAGCCGCGGUAAUACGUAGGGGGCGAGCGUUGUCCGGAAUUACUGGGCGUAAAGGGUGCGUAGGUGGCCUUUUAAGUUGGAUGUGAAAUACCCGGGCUUAACUUGGGGGGUGCAUCUAAUACUGGGAGGCUAGAGUGCAGGAGAGGGAAGCGGAAUUCCUAGUGUAGCGGUGAAAUGCGUAGAUAUUAGGAGGAACACCAGUGGCGAAGGCGGCUUUCUGGACUGUAACUGACACUGAGGCACGAAAGCGUGGGGAGCAAACAGGAUUAGAUACCCGUGUAGUCC
rnacentral:rRNA from 1 species